CAAAAAUAAGAAAGAAGAGGAGAAGGAAGAAGAAAGAAGGAGGAGGAGAAAGAGAAAUGACUUGGAAACCUUUACUUGAGAAGGUGGUCAGACCUUGUAAGGAAUGACCUGGCAAUAGAGUCACAGGUCUGUAGCAUGAUUCUUCCUCCACAUCUGCCUUAGAGUUCACACCUAUGAUCCCAUGGAAAGUUCCUUACGACCUGUUCCAACCUAGGCCUCAGAUGUAGCUACAAAAAGUACUAUAUUAUCCCUUAUGAUAUUCUGCAGCCUGCUCACACCUGAUCCUUGUUUCAAAUUGAGUUGCACAGCAUUCGGUGGCAACGUUGACUGGAAUUCAAACCUCUUUGUUGCCAACACCCAAGAAAAUGAGAUGCAAUGGAUUACAAUUGAAACUGUAACAAUGAGGACAAAAAGCAUUUUCAGAUCUCCAAGUUAAUUGUACAGCAGCUUCCUACACACAUAUGAUCAACCAUAUAAUGAUCCCAUCAAAAUAAAAAAAAAAAUCUAAGCAGAAAUGUCUCAUUUACAUUAAUAAUGUUCACAAAUUAUAUGAAUUCAUUUUGCAAGUGAUGGAUAAUUUAAGCUUUCAUCAUCUAAAGCUUGUCAUUUUUUUCCAAGAGAAAUGGAUUGUUUCAUUUUUAAUGAGUGCAAUAAUAACACAUUUAGUUUCAGCAGAUGCAAAAUAAUGCACACAAAAAAUGAUUUGGAAUUUGCAGAACAAAUAAGCAAACAGUACUAGAAAAACGCAAAGAAACAUGUACUAUAUAGGGCUUUUCUUCUUGUAAGGGGUCAAAAUCUGGUCAAAUCCAGCGUAUUGUUUCAAUUUAAGCAAAUAAAAUCAAUAUGGUCAGGGAAGCAAAGUGCACAGAAAUUUUAAUUAGUUAGGUUUCUUUUCCUUUCUUUUUUUUUUUAUUUCUGUCUCAGACAAGUACUGUUAGCUGACAAGAAAUAUGGCAUUCCUCACCUAAUACAGUAAACAAAACAAAACAAAAACCCUCUCUUAAUCACUAUUAGACAGCCUCUAGACAAUACAUUCCUGCAAGGAAUUGUAAGGGAAAGGAUUGGAUGCCACUUUGUUAAUGAAACUUAAGGAAUAGAUUGUCAGGCAUACCGGGAGUUUCAGAUGUAUUUCUGAAUUCACAUCUGUGGGAGUUGUGGAUUGUCACAGUUCAUUUGCUUUUGUAAAAUAUCCACAAUUUGCUGACAAGCAACUUCAAAAGUCCAUUCAGCGAUUGGGUGGGUGGUGGACCCCUUUCGGCAUUUUUUUAAAGUAAGUGUUCUUUUGCUACUGUAAUAUAGAGCUGGUGAAGAAAAAGAACGAAUGCUAAAAUAAAUAGUAAAAUAUAAAACACUUCAUACAAAGUAAUUUGAUGUGCCAUUAGUUGUACAAUUACUUCAAUAAACAUACACAUGUUAUAAAGGGAAAUCAGAAACAAAAUGCUUUCAGUUACGGAACUUGCAAGCACCCAUGACUCCAUGUUGUUAAUUCCUUUGGGAAGUGCCAUUUUUAAUUUUUUGGUUUCUUUUCAGUGUUGUGCAUGUCCUUGCAACUGCCUUGUUUUUUAAUUUAUAUCAGGAGUCACAGAAUUAGAAGGAAGGCAUUUGAAAUCAUUGAAAACUGCAGUUAAAAAUAAUUAAGUACCAUUAUUUACCUUAAAUUUAGGAGCUGAGGUUGUCAGUCAAAACAAUAUAAAAAUGUUUUAGGUUGUUUAAGUAGCCAGAUUGCCAGUGUAAAAUACUUGAGAAUGCUAACACAUUUCUCAGAGAUGGGCGCAUAAGAAUAAACCUGUAUUCUGUAUAUUAUGCCCCAAGUGGGACGUUGAUGAAGACCUACACAGUGCAUAAUUUCUUUUAAGUUCUUUUAAGCAGUCUUGUGUUAUGAGUACAAUUAAAAGUCCAUCAGUAUCCCAAGUACUCGUGCAUUAUCUACCCUGCCACACUUCGCUAAUGCGUCUUAUCAUUUAGGUUGCUAAUACUGUUCAGUGUAAAGACAGUCUUUCUGAGGUAGACUGUUCAAGUUCAAGGACAAGUCUUUUUCUUACGAAAUGCAUGACAUUCAAAAAAAGACAACAAAUAAAUACUACAUGUACAAUAUGUAGCAAUGAGGUAGAAAUGGUUAUAAAGAACAAUGUUUGAAUACACAUCAGAUGAAAAAAGAAAAAAAAGAAAUGAAUAUUCUCUAGCAACUGUAUAUAAUCCACGAGGAGACACACACACACACACACACACACACACACACACACACACACACGAGAGAGAGAGAGAGAGAGAGAGAGAGAGAGAGAGAGAGAGAGAGAGAGAGAGAAAGGGAGACUGAAAUAAACCUUUGCUUUUUUUUUUUUUAAUAUCAUAAGACAACAAGAAAGAAUGAAUGUGCUCCCAACCUUGGUGUACUACGGAACCAUUUUAUAAAUAUUUAACAUUCUAUAGGACUGAUUCAUAUAUUCUCACACAACUCUGUGGCAAGGCUGACCCAUGCUGCCGACAUUCUACAUAUCACUGAGACAGGGAGGUGAAAUUUUCCUGCUUUCAGUCUAAUUGUCUUUGACAAUUGCAGUGCCUAGUGCUACACUGCUUGUGUUGUAUUUAAAAACAGGGGAAAGAGGAGAGACUUGUUCAUUAAAGAUGCAGUAUCCCUGGUUCACACAAAUGCAUCUGGCAGGUUCAAAAUCGAAUGUCAACCAGAGGUCUUAGCAGAGUGUGAGCUUCAGUUCAUGUGUUGGUUAGUCACAAGUACAGCUGGUUUUGAAUUCUGAAAUACUAAUAGCUCCAUGUUUGCUAAUGUGCUUCGUACGAAAAUCGGCAAGUGAUUCAACAACCGAAGGCUUUACUUUUCAAAAGAAAAAACCAUAUUAAAACACUUUGAGCUGUCGAGUGGUCAUGUGUAUCUGUACAUGUGAAGAAAGGAAGUAACCAGUUGCUUCUGAAUAAUGUAAAAUGGAUGUUAAAGUUCAAAUAGGUGGUGGUGAAAACAGCACACACAUACACACACACAAACACACAUGCUAAUUUUAUAUAUAUAUGUAUAUAUAUAUAUAUAACAUAUAUAUACAUAUAUAUAUAUUAGAACUUUACCUUAGUGGCCUUGAUAGUUCAACAAACUGUGUCCCUUUCACUUCGCAAAAUACAGUUUCAGUGAUCACGAUAGCCAGUUCUUGUUAAGAAACAUGAGAAUGGGAUUAUAGAAGCAUCUUUCUGUUGGGAGUUGGACACAUUUCUAGAGAAACAUUCUAAAUGCCUCUAAAAUAUAUUUUCCAACCCACAAAUAUAUGUAAAUUUACAAAGACCUAUUGUAGGAGUUAAUUUGGACUUUUUUGGAUGUAUUCUUCUGAAAACUGCAUAGCCAAGUACUAUGCAGCCCUUGUAAAUUGACCUUGCUAUUUUACAUCGCAUAGCCUCUGGAUAGCUUUUAUCACUUGCCCAGAUGGUGUUUGGCCUAUGUAUUUGAGUGGAAUGGUUUAUUUUCUCCUUGAUAGGUUUCAAAUGCAUAAGAAAACAUUAUACCCGUCUAUCUGCAUUUGAGUAGAAUACAAACUGACUAAUAGAUAAACAUUCUGUGUGAAAGUAAAUAGCUUUAAAGUAUACUGCCUUCACAUUCCAUUGAUCAGCUCAGUCAGCAAAGUUUUCCAUAUUGUCACUAAUGUUCUAAAUAUUUUGGUGAGAGGCAUGCCAGGAGAGUAGGGUAUUUCCAUUUGUGUCACACAUAAGGUCAUUAUGAACUACCUCUUGAAUUUCCAUUGAUCCUUCUACUGAAGUGGUUUCCUUUACUUCCUUUUUGUUCCCGUUGGAAAUGUUACUGCAGUUAUGAAGGGAAUUAGGGACUGUUACGUGGACUGGCUCAAAUCCCCUGACCAGACGGCAAGGGAUUUGGACUGGCUCAUUACCUUACCUUCGUUAGUAGCCUUCUCCAAAUUCUUAGCAGUCAAAAAGAGGCCAAGAGUACGAAGCCCGCUUACUCAGUUGUACUAUCACUGAUUGUACGCAUUCACUUCUCAGGAUGUGGCACCCCACCCCCACCCCAAGCUCCAGAAGGGAUGGUCAGAAAAGAGCUCAUUAUUAGGCUAGUCCAUAGAAGAGCUCAUAAUGCUGCCAUGCAGAAUCAAAGAAUCACAGGAGAGCACUAUCUACUCAGAGGUCAGCCUUAUCUCCCCCAACAGAUCUUCAUUUCUUCAGCAUGCCCAAUUUCCUAAGAGAUCAAAUCCAAGAAUUCAUGAGGCUAAAUGAAAUUCACACAAGACUUCAGCUUCUGCCUAAAUACAUGGAUCUCUGACGACUCAUCUCUCAAAGUAAUUUUUAAGUCACUUAAAGCUAAAAGCCAAUAUGUAUGACUUCAAUUUAUUUUCAUUUUUAUAAAUGAGUGUAAAACACAACAGUGCAGUCAUAUUUGGCAUUAACUCUUACUAGCCACAAAAAUGUGGGUCAAUAUUGGAUUUUCCAAAGUUGUCUAAAUAAGACUGGGUUUGUCAAAACUUGCCAGUUGCUUUCAAGUGAACACAGCAUGUUGGCGGAAAUGAAAUGUAAUGUCUAAGAGACAGAAAAUAGGUCAGCACUGUGCAAAAGUAAACUUGUCAGCGAGAUCAAUAUGAACCUACAAGUUAAUGGGGAUAUUAGAAUUUCCUUACAAUAAGAGAUGUGCAGGGUACAGCCAGAACACGAUUAUAGCAUUUAUUCACUCGUGAAAAGCAGAGGACGUAUUUAAAUAUUAUUUUUUGUAUCCUUAAUGAAAGGCACUGCUUUUUAAUAUGGAAUAUUUAUAUAUAAGCACAGUUUUAAUUGAUAGACUAUCACAGUAAAUUAAAUUUUGGUUCAUUUGCUCAGUUUUUUGCAACACGAAAAAUAUGAAAAAAGGGGAGUAAUGAUCAAGCAUCAGAAAAUUUCAGAAAUACGAUGAGGUCCUUCAUUAGCUUUCUCUAUGUUAAGUGUUUCGGAGAAUUUGACAUUGUGAAUGAAAUCAGUCAAAAUUUUUGAAGGAAAAAAAACAAUAACAGAAAGAGCUUUCUUGGGGCUUCUCAUUGCAUUUAUUUAAAUUUUUAAAAAAUGUACAUCACUUUUUGAAUACAUAAAAUGCCAGUGCUUUGCAACAGUUUUGUUACUGCAUCUCUCAACUAAAAAAAAAAAAAAAAAAGGAAGAAAAAAAAAAAAAGCAGGAAAAAUACAUUCAAAAAGCCAGGCUGUUCUGCUUAUGCACGGGCAGUGGCUUUGGAAAGCUACGGCCUACACGGUCUGUUCAGAGACAUUGCCGAACAUCAGUUAGCUAUCAAUGAAAAGUUGCACAUAAAGCAUUAAAGGAUACAAAGAACAACUUGGAGGGGAGCAGGAGAAGAAUGGGAAAGUAAGAAAAAUGCCACAUAUUCUGGGGUGGGGGUGGACUCAGGCGGAAGCAAGCAUGAAGACCGAUGUUUUUGGAAACCAGAUCUAUGGGAAAAGGGAGAAAACAAAGUAACGUGUUUGACAAGAUAGAGUUGUGUGUGUGUGCGCGCCUGUGUGCGUCCACUUCCAAUUUUCUAUUUUACUCUCCAAGAGAAAUAUAACAAAACUGAGGUAGAAAUGAAUGUGGGAGCACUAUAGCCCAGAAGAUUUCAAAAUGAGAAGCAAAAUUGCACUGAGAAGGGAGGAGUCAAAAAGGAGAGGGGAUGUAGAUGUUCUUUGUGGAUAUAGAGAAGUUGGUUGGUUGGUUUUUCUAUUUGUUUGUUUGUUUUGCUUGCUAUCUUCUCCAUUCUGUCAAACAGCACGGCAAGCCUAUAAGCUAGAUUAGUGAAUAGGAGGACACCAUUCCCAGCAGUUUUAAGAGAGAACUUGCAA